rnacentral:misc_RNA from 1 species
UGGAAGUAAAAGUCGUAACAAGGUUUCCGUUGGUGAACCAGCGGAAGGAUCAUUACAGCGAAGCGGCGCGAGCCGCCUUUCGAACCACCGCGUACCGAACCCCCCACGUUGCCUCGGCGGGCGCCGGGCGCCCCGCGCCCGCCCCGCCGAACGGCCCCCCAGCAAGACCCCUUCCGUCGAGAUGGCGUCGUCUGAACCCUCCGGGGAAAACGUUUGAAACGAAAAACACAGCUUUCAACAAUGGAUCUCUUGGCUCCGGCAUCGAUGAAGAACGCAGCGAAACGCGAUAGCUAGUGUGAAUUGCAGAUUUCAGUGAAUCAUCGAGUCUUUGAACGCACAUUGCGCCUCUUGGUAUUCCUCGAGGCAUGCCUGUUCGAGCGUCGUUACGCCCCUCAAGCGCGAGCUUGGUGUUGGGGACCGCCCCUGAGACACGGCGGCGGCCCCGGAAUGCAUCGGCGGUGCUGGUCCCAGCCCGGAGCGCAGCAGACAUGCGGCUCCGCGGGCGGGGCCGGCGCCCGCCGGACAAACGACGAGACCCCUCCACAAGUCGACCUCGAAUCAGGUAGGGAUACCCGCUG